GACGAACGCUGGCGGCGUGCUUAACACAUGCAAGUCGAACGAUGAAGCCAGCUUGCUGGUGGAUUAGUGGCGAACGGGUGAGUAACACGUGGGUGAUCUGCCCCAAACUUUGGGAUAAGCCUGGGAAACUGGGUCUAAUACCGAAUAUGACCGAUACUCGCAUGGGUGUUGGUGGAAAGCUCCGGCGGUUUGGGAUGGGCCCGCGGCCUAUCAGCUUGUUGGUGGGGUAAUGGCCUACCAAGGCGACGACGGGUAGCCGGCCUGAGAGGGCGACCGGCCACACUCGGACUGAGACACGGCCCAGACUCCUACGGGAGGCAGCAGUGGGGAAUAUUGCACAAUGGGCGCAAGCCUGAUGCAGCGACGCCGCGUGAGGGAUGACGGCCUUCGGGUUGUAAACCUCUUUCACCAGGGACGAAGCGAAAGUGACGGUACCUGGAGAAGAAGCACCGGCCAACUACGUG
rnacentral:rRNA from 1 species